rnacentral:rRNA from 1 species
AGUGAACGCUGGCGGUAGGCCUAACACAUGCAAGUCGAACGGCAGCACAGUAAGAGCUUGCUCUUACGGGUGGCGAGUGGCGGACGGGUGAGGAAUACAUCGGAAUCUACUUUUUCGUGGGGGAUAACGUAGGGAAACUUACGCUAAUACCGCAUACGACCUACGGGUGAAAGCAGGGGAUCUUCGGACCUUGCGCGAUUGAAUGAGCCGAUGUCGGAUUAGCUAGUUGGCGGGGUAAAGGCCCACCAAGGCGACGAUCCGUAGCUGGUCUGAGAGGAUGAUCAGCCACACUGGAACUGAGACACGGUCCAGACUCCUACGGGAGGCAGCAGUGGGGAAUAUUGGACAAUGGGCGCAAGCCUGAUCCAGCCAUACCGCGUGGGUGAAGAAGGCCUUCGGGUUGUAAAGCCCUUUUGUUGGGAAAGAAAAGCAGCAGGUUAAUACCCCGCUGUUCUGACGGUACCCAAAGAAUAAGCACCGGUUAACUUCGUG